rnacentral:lncRNA from 1 species
GCAGAUGGCGCGGGAUGAUGCGGGUCUUCUUGUUGUCGCGGGCCGCGUUGCCCGCCAGCUCCAGGAUCUCGGCCGUUAGGUACUCCAGCACCGCCGCCAUGUACACCGGCGCGCCGGCGCCCACACGCUCCGCGUAGUUGCCCUUGCGCAGCAGCCGGUGCACACGCCCCACCGGGAACUGUAGCCCGGCCCGGGAAGACCGCGACUUGGCCUUGGCCCGGGCCUUGCCUCCUUGCUUGCCACGGCCAGACAUGGCGGGAUCGGCAAUUACUGCUGCUUUUUCCAAGGGAAGGAUAUGGAAAGGCCCCACUCUUUGAUCCCCUCCGAGUUCCUUAGCAACCGUGGAAUCUAACCUCAAAAGACACCAAAGUCCCGCGUGCAUAAGGAC